AGCAGCCGCCACGGUAAUACGUAGGGGGCAAGCGUUAUCCGGAAUUACUGGGUGUAAAGGGAGCGUAGACGGUUAAACAAGUCUGAAGUGAAAUGCCGGGGCUCAACCCCGGAGCUGCUUUGGGAACUGUAGAACUGGAGUGUCGGAGGGGUAAGCGGAAUUCCCAGUGUAGCGGUGAAAUGCGUAGAUAUUGGGAGGAACACCGGCGGCGAAGGCGGCUUACUGGACGAAAACUGACGCUGAGGCGCGAAAGCCAGGGGAGCGAACGGGAUUAGAUACCCCGGUAGUCCCUGUCUCUUAUAC
rnacentral:rRNA from 1 species